rnacentral:tRNA from 1 species
GGGGAUAUAACUUAACUUGGUAAAGUGAUCGAUUUGCAAUCGGUAAGAUAUGAGUUCGAAUCUCGUUAUCUCAA